rnacentral:lncRNA from 1 species
GGCCGGCCAGGCGAAGAAGUAAGGUGGGCCGGGGUGCAGCAGGCCCAGGUGCCAGUGCGGAAAGAGGCCGACGGGCAGUUUUGGAAGGCCAGGUGCCGCGGAAAAGAAAGGAAAAGGAAGUUGGGCCAUUGGGCCGGCAGGGAAGUAAAGAAAGGAGGAGAGAAGAGGAAUCGGCCUAGUGGGCCCAGUGCCGACGGGUAAAAGGAAUAGGAGGAGAAGGUGGACCCGAGCCGCGGGCCCAGCACGAAUGAGAGAGGGUAGAGAGGAGGCGUGUGAGAAAAGUUGUGCCGGGGGUUUCGAGAUAAAAAUUUAGAUUUUCUUUUGUUAGAGUAAUAGAUUAAAUUCGUGUAUCACCUUUUAAAUCAGAGAAAUUUCUAGGAGUGUCUAAAAUUAGUGAAACCAAUUUUGUUAGGGUUGUUUUAUUUUCCUUUAUGCUUUAAAAUUCUUAUACCUUAGGAAAAAUAAUAAAAACUUAGGUAUUUGUUUAAUGCCUUUUCAUUAUGGUAUUUAAAUAAAUACUUAACCUUUAUUAAAUGCAUAAAAUAUGGAAUAAUGUUUUCAUAUUCACAAAUUAGUAUUAACCCAUAGGAAAAUUAGGUUUUGAGACUAGAAAAUAAUUAUAAUAUUUUCUAAAAGUAAAAGAAAAAGCCUAAGGUAGGAUUAGUAAAGAAAAUAAAAGUAAUGGGUUAAUCUUUUUGGGUUUUUGUGUGUUGGCUUGCAACUUUAUCAUGAUAAGUUGUGUAGUCACUUGUUGGCUUGCAACUUUAUCAUGAAGGAAGGUUGUAUAGUCUUGUAUUCAAAAAGUUGCAUCACUAACCCAUGCAUAUGCUAUAUCAUAGACACCGAAGCGCCUGAAGAGGAAUUCUUGGAAUUAUCAGAAGGAUCUUCGGAGUUUGAGGAGAUCAUUGAAUU